AAUGCCAAUUGAAGGUCUGUUAUUAAUGCAGAGAUGAAAGGAUAUCCCUUUAAUUAAUGCCUUUCUAGAGCUUUUGGCUAAAAUCAAGUAUCCAAGAACCACAAAUAGUAGUCUCUAGCAGGGUAAAUGGAGAUCCAGCCAAGCAUAGCUGCUCUAGUGAGUUAUGAGCUAUUGCGCUUGCAAUAAUUAUAUGUAAAAACUUCCAUUUACUUUUUAUUUGUAAUUCUAGGCAUUGAACAGGUAAAUGAAACCCUAUGUGUGUUCCUUUUUCUCUUUAAUGUGGACCUGUUUGCGAGUGUGCAUUACGAAAUUUGUCGAUAUCAGAAGGUGUACAUCUUUAUAAAACUGCCACCAACCACAACCAAAUAAAAAAUUCUCUGUUUUUUUAUUCUGGGGAUGUAAAUGCUAAGGUCUAUUUUUGAGUUACGUUAUUGCUAAAGAUGUACUUCUUAACACCUUAGGCUAUUUUUCUCCCCUUUUUUUUUGUUUUUUAAAACUCUCUGUAAUGAAUGACAAUGCUCUGCCUCUUUGAUAUGAGUGUGCCUAAAAGUGUUCGCUUUUUUACUUGAAUUUUAGGAAUGUGAGUGCUAACAUCUAUUUUUGAGUUUCCUUGUUGAUAAAUAUGCUCUUUUGAUUGAUACUUAAUCCUAUUCUCCACUCUCUUUUGAACUCUGUAAUGAAUGGGAAUGCUCUUGCUCUGAGAUUGGUGUGACUUAAUGUGUUUUUCUUUAUCUAGAAUCGUAGGCAUCAUUAUUAAAAGUGUACUUUCUGAUACUUUAGCCUUUAUUUUCUGUGUUUGAACUCUGUAUAAAGAAUCACAAUGCUGAUUCCUUGAUGUGGGUGUGCCUAAAUGUGUUUUCUUUUGUCUAGAAACUUAGGCAUGUGAAUACUGACGUCUAUAUUAAGAUACUUUGUUGCUGAGAUGUUUUAUUGGAGUAAUCCUUAUUGGUAAAGCGCAUAAUUUCAGUCAUGUUACCUGUAUUUUGAACUGUAAUUUGAUACUCAACUUUGAAAUAAUAUAAAACCACUCGAUCAACUUAUGCAGGUGCUAUCUCCGCACUUCAUGUUGUCAGAAUACAAGCCAAAAGCUAAGACAGGCGAUGCAUUUACAAGUGAGUAAGCUCAUUUUAUAAAUUAUGCAAAUUUUGUAGUUGUUGCCUGCUUUAUGAAUACCCACUAAUCUUUGAGAUCGAUUCCAUGCUAAUUUGUUUUUUGAGUCCUUGUUUCUAUUGGUAUUUUGCCGCAUUUUGUGAUUGACGUAAACAAGAUGUCAUACUUCUUGCUCUUCUCCUUCAAUUAAUUGUGUAUCCUGUGCAUAAAGGAAUUCAUCCUAAAUGAUGAGUAAUUCAAGUAAGCUAUGGAUUAACAUCCAAAUGAAGCUUUUUUGUCAUAGUUACACUGAUAGAUGAGAUUCCUUUAUAUGUGUUAUCCUAGGGUUCCUUUUUCUUGAUGAAUGAUCUCAUAGUUUGUUAUGUUGUAGAUAACAAGAAAUAUAAUACUUGAUAAAAAAAGAAGAGAGAUAAUACUUAUUAAAAAAGAGAUAUUACAUGAGCGCCGAAGGGAGUGGCAUAGUUGUCAAUGAAGUGAGUGAAAACCCUAGAGACUGGUUCAAAUCCCAACCGCAACAACAAAAAAGGCUGUUAUUUCUUCUUAUCUGUCUAUGCCUUGGUAUGUUAGAGUUAACCAAUACCUGUAUUGAUGAAAGGCAAGCAUGUAUCUAGUGGAAUUGUCGAGGUGUGCACAAUAAUGGUCCGGAUACAACCAUUAUAAAAAAGAAAUACAUGUCUUUUCUAAACUGCUUUUUGCUGAUCCUUGGAUGUUACAGAAGCAUUUUACCUCCCAAAAUUUUCCAGUAAGUUUUCGUGCACCUCUUACUAGAGCGGUUUUCAAAAAUCCGGUUAAGCAACAUAUACAUCGCUUUUGCUGCUUUGAAAGGGUGUUUAACAUUAUUUAAACGGAAAAGGGCCAACAUUGCCCCUAGACACUGUUAAAUUGAACAAUUUUGCCCUCCUUUAAAAAAGUUUCUCGUUCCUAUUCCUGCCGUUAACAAAGUGGCUCGAUUUUGCUCUUAUGGGCUAACAACAACAAUUAAAGGACAAAUUUAGACCAUUCACAAAGUCCAUUCUGGCACUACUUAGCAAAGAGGGAUAAGUUAGAAUAGGAAAAUCACAACAACUGUUAUUAUUCUGGAGAAUGAUUUGCAAGGCUUCAUAUCUUUCACCUCAUAACUCCCUGUAAAUUUUGUAAUGCAUAACUUCUCAUCCUUCUCAAUUACCUCAAAUCGAAUUCUGUAAAAAUUAAACCCAAGGUCAACAUAUCCACCUUCAAUCAGCACAGAUUGCUUGUAUAUUUUCUCAUUAUCCACUAUGUUGAAUCUCUCGAAAUAUGGUAUUCCUGGUGUACCUGUUUUAAUAAAAGUUAAACACGAUGCAUGUAGAAAAUACAUAUCAGAUGUUGAUCAAUAAUUUGUUGUAAUACUUUAGAUGAACAUCCUUAUGGUCAACUUUGGUCUCUGUGUGGGUGUAUAUAGUAUAGUUGAAUGUGACAUGCACUGUCUUGACUUCUUAUCUCUUUGGAGAUUCAUUCAAAAAGAAAUCUACAGUACCUUUCUUUAUAGUAUGAUCUUUCUGUGUCCAUGUCUUUGGCUAUGUAAUAUCCAGGUUGUUUUGGCUUAUCCACCUUAGUAAAUAGUCAUUCUUUGGUGAUAAUGAUGAUGAUUCUUCAGAGCAAAUGGUAUUAGGAAUUGAUAUGGCAAGAGACGCAUAUCUUGGUGAGAUAAGCCUAUCCUGGAAGGUUACUACCAUGCCCAUGAUGGUGUUGGAAAAUCUCAAUGCUGAACAUAAAGCCAAUUUAUGCUCACUUUUAAGCCAAAACAAUGUUAAAAGUAGGGCAUUAUUUCAUAGCUAAAGUAGGUGCUUGGCUUAUAUGUAUGGAGUAACUUUCUUCAAUUCUUGUGCUUUCCCUGCUCAUCCUUUAAUUUCUCUUGUAAAGUUCCAGCAAUUUUAAUCAAUGUGCAUCAUAUUUAGUUCGCAUAUAUACGUAUUAUCUUACAAAGAAAAGCCUUGUAGAACAGCACGUCCUUAAAGUACUUGUAAGGACAGACAUGUUCUUGUAAUGUGUUUUUAGUUCACAGUACUGCGACAAAAGACUGUUAGUGUUAGUUUGUGGUUUUGAUGAAUAUAGUUCUCUUAUGUGUGCUUUAAGUGAAGAAGGCAAAAACUCUAGCAACGAUUCUUUUUCCUCUAAAAAGAAGCAUUGGUAGAGUUUUUGUCGCCCACUUAAUGCUCGCAUGCCAUCUAUCUGAGAAGGAAGCUCUAAAUAUAAAUCGAGAAUUUAUUUCAUGUAAUGAUCAUCUUUAGAUUGUAAUUUAUUAAGUAAUAGGAUUAGGCAAAGGUCCAAAUACAUCCAUGUACUUUCGAAAAUGAUCUAAGAAUACCCCUCAUUAUACUAUUGGGUUAUCUAUAUCCCUGCAGUCAUACUUUGGGUUUAAAUAUAUCCUUUAUUUAAACGGAGGUACACAUGUCAUCAUGCAACAGGCCAAUUAUAAAUAUCUCCUAAUUAAUUAAAAAGUAAUUUUCUAAAGUAAUUUUUUUUUUUGUAAAAAUUGGAAAAUACUGAAAAAAAUUGAAAAAUAUUUCUAAAACAAUGUUUUGUAAAAACUGUUUUGUAAAAACUGAAAAAAAAACUGAAAAGCAAUUUUAAAAGCUGAAAAAAACUGAAAUUUUUAACUGAAAACUGAAAAAAAAGAAAAUAUUUAUUUUUUCAGNNNNNNNNNNNNNNNNNNNNNNNNNNNNNNNNNNNNNNNNNNNNNNNNNNNNNNNNNNNNNNNNNNNNNNNNNNNNNNNNNNNNNNNNNNNNNNNNNNNNNNNNNNNNNNNNNNNNNNNNNNNNNNNNNNNNNNNNNNNNNNNNNNNNNNNNNNAAAAAAUCAGCCUUUUCCAGUUUUUACAAAAAAAAAUUGCUUUAAAAAAUUACUUUUUAAUUAAUUAGGAAAUAUUUAGAAUUGGCCAACAGGACGAUGACACGUGUCCCUCCGUUAAAUGAGGGGCAUAUUUGAACUCAAAGUAUGAUUGCAUGGGUAUAGAUAACCCAAUAGUAUAACGAAGGGUAUUCUUAGACCAUUUUCGAAAGUACAUGGUAUAUUUGAACCUUUGCCGAAUAGGAUUUAUCCUUCUCAAAACCAUUAGUGCCAGACUACUGCUGACACCAUGUAGUAAUGUGAACAUCAGGAUUUUUAAUAUCUCAUGGAGAUAAACAUGGAAUACAUGUGAUAAAAUAGUAACCAUGUACGAAAAGUUUCUGCUGCAGCGGGUUUAUGCCUCUCUGUAUAGGUGUUUGUUGUUUGUAUCAUGUCUUUCCCUUAGAUUCGGUCUACUCUUGUUUAGUCAACAUUGUCCUCUACUUUUUCUUAUUCUGAUCAUUGAAUGCAUCAUCUAAAUCUUGCUUCUUGCAGCAUAAUAUAUAUGGAAUUAUUCUCCUAAUUAGAGAUUUCGAUAUUUCUGAUCCAUUUCUAUUUGAGUAUAUCUUGUCCUCAUUGCAUUUAAAAUAUAUUAAUACUUCAUUGCAGCUUUAAUCUCAAUUGUGUUGCUGGAUUUAAUACUCUUUAAGUUUACUUAGCUUUCUGUUUUGAUUCUUUUUGUCGUUGGGUGGUGCAGGUGGUGGUGUUUGAGCAAUUUAUCCCAUAGUAUUUUCUGUCAGUUACUUCUGCCGCUAACUUUGUAUAGCUGAAAGUUGCCAAAUCGGUUGAAAGAAUUGGAAGUUCACUCUCUGAUUGCUGUAGCGUUGUGCAUAUUUACCCUUUAUGCAUUUCAAUCUGCCGGUGAAAAGGUGCACUUGAGAGAAUUAUACAUUUUGUCAAUAUUAAUUUUUCAAAG
rnacentral:lncRNA from 1 species